rnacentral:rRNA from 1 species
GACAGCCAGGAUGUUGGCUUAGAAGCAGCCAUCAUUUAAAGAAAGCGUAAUAGCUCACUGGUCGAGUCGGCCUGCGCGGAAGAUGUAACGGGGCUAAACCAUGCACCGAAGCUGCGGCAGCGACACUAUGUGUUGUUGGGUAGGGGAGCGUUCUGUAAGCCUGCGAAGGUGUCUCGUGAGGGAUGCUGGAGGUAUCAGAAGUGCGAAUGCUGACAUAAGUAACGAUAAUGCGGGUGAAAAACCCGCACGCCGGAAGACCAAGGGUUCCUGUCCAACGUUAAUCGGGGCAGGGUGAGUCGACCCCUAAGG